AAAAAAACUGUGUUCUGGCACCAUUCCAAACUUUUCCAACCGAAGCUUCCUUUUAAUAUGUGUUUCAACAAAUUUUGAAAAAGCCCAUCUCACGGGUGAAAGAAUUGAAGCCAAGAGACUGAGCAAGAGGCCCUCACCAGGUUUGUGUAGCAAAAGCUCUGAGAACCGGGUUAAGUACAAAUACGCUAAAGGUAAACCCCAUGGAAGAUAAUCAGGGACGCCCCAUUGUUCACUUCUGUAUAGCACUGUGCAUGGGUUUUGCUUCCCUGCGAAUGGGUGGAUUGAAGUUACACAAGUGAUAAAUAAGAUGUUUUCUGUGAAUCUAUGGUAGGAUAUUACUGAGGGCAAGUUAAAAAGGUCUCAUUUAAUUUAGUUUUUAUUUAAUUUAUAGUCAAUUUCUACUUCUAAUUUCUAUAUUAUUUUUGAAUAUAUAGUUGGUGAAAAUAAUAAUUUACAGAUUUCAAACAUGUUUAUAACUCUUUAUUGUAUUAAAAAAAUUAAGUUACACGUAACUUAUGAAUAUGAUAAUUGAUAUUUAUUUUUUUGAGUUUUUUUUAUUUACUUUAUGUGCUAAACUUUAUUAUGGUUUAUAUAUUUAGAAUUUUAAAAAUUAUAUUAAUACUUAUAUAUACCUAUGCAGAUAAAUAUUUAUAGUAAAUAAAAGACUUUUCUCAUUUUCAAUAAAAGAUAUUUUAGAAUUACUUCUAUUUUAUAAAAAUUUUCCCAAUAAAUACAAUAAGACUUAUAAUUAUGCACGUUGAAGUCUAUAAAAAUCAGAACCAAGAAUCAAACGAGAAAAACCAAACACGCUGUCAUUAUAUAAGUUUUUGACAAAAAUUUAACAAUCUAUUGAGAGAUUGAUAGCUAAAAUGAAAUAUCCGCUCCAAUUUUUACCGAGUUAUUGUGUGAUUAACAUGACGAGAAAUUGUAGAAGGUGAAAUUUGAACGUACCAUUUACUGCUGCGACCUCCAUUGCGAUGUCCAGUGCAGAUUUCUGGAAGCCAACAAUGGCAACUCGCUUUCCUUCAACAAAUUUACCAGCAGUUUCGUACUCCAUCUUAGUGUAGUCUAUGGAGUGUAUCACCUUUCCAUGAAACGUUUCUGGUCCCUUUCCAGGUGGGUAUUCAGGAAUAUUCGGCACAUCACUAAAUCUCCCCACACACAGAAUCACAAAAUCCACUUUGUAAAUCUGCAAAUUUUUUCUUUUCUGGUCAUGCUUUCCAGUCUUGAGAAGCUAUUUGGAGACUUUCAGAAAUAAGUUUCAAUUAAUUUUGGGGUUUUUACGUUAAAAUAAGCUCUUGAAUUGACAUACGUAACUAGUUGGAAAUAUUUUUGCCAAUGCUUGACCGUUGGAGACGUUCUUUGCACCUAACUUUCUCUUUAAUUGUACAUGAAAUCGAAAGAAUACGUUUUAGAUUUUGUGAUUAAAGUUAGUAUCAUUUUUUUUUUUUAAUUGAAUUCAUCUCGUUUUUAAAUUUAUUUGAAGUUCAUAUAAGGGGAUAAAUUUAUUUGAAGUUGCUUAUUAUGUGUACCUUUGUCUCAUCAGCAACGCCAUGGUUGUGCUCCACCACUACCUUCCAUUUCCCUCCCGAGCCAAAUCGCUCACCAUUGCCACUCCAUAAACUCCAUUUUUCGAUCUCUUCACUGCCAGAAGCUCCUUCAUAUUCAAUUCCCACAACUCUUGAAUUGAAUUUGAUGUGCUUGAUUAAGUCAAAAUGCUCCGCAUAAGAUUUAAUGUAGUCAAGAACUUUAUCGUGAUCAGGAAAAUCUUCCGGCACUGAACUCGGCCAUGGAAAAUCUGAAAAUUGGUAAAUAGAUUUUGGGGUCUGGAGCUUCGUCGUCUGUAUGGUCUUGAUCCAGACUCCUCCAACGUCGGUUCGAGACUCAAAGACGAUGGGUUGCAGACCCUUGGAGAGGACGUACUUGCAGGCGAGAAGGCCACUAAGACCAGCUCCAAUAAUGGCAAUCUGUUUCUCCAUUAAUGGCGGUAUGGGUUGUGGACUCGGGAGAGAAUCUUGCUGUUGAAUCUUGUCUUUUCUUUUUUUUUUUUUCCCUCAAAUUACUAGUACCGUAGCAUGAAGUGAUUACUUGGUAACACUCCUCCACAAGCUUUUAUAGCUUUAAAUACGUACGAAGAUUUGGAAAAAAAAAAAGGAGAUAUAAAUAUAUAUAAAUACACAUACAUAUAUAUAUAUAUAUAUAUAUAUAUCAAAUAGUUCAUCCUAUGUCAAAUUUAGAUAAGGAUGGCAAUGGGCCCUGAAACGACAAUGGGUUUGAAUUUGGGAACUAUCAAUAUUAUUUCACCUAUAUAUAAAUAUAACUGUUUAUAUUAAUAAAAAUUCAAAAUAUAAAUAUUAUUAAUGUAUUAAUUAUUUAUAUAUCAAUCAAAAAUUAAAAUAUAUAUGGCAAGUAGAUUUCAUCAGGUGAGUUUUGCUCAGCAAAUUCCGAAACCAUCUUGUUCUAAACUUUUUUAAUUUAAAUUUUUGACAAACUCAAAUCCUGAUGCACUCUAAAUAAGUUAUUUAAUGAAGAAAAUGAGGCGCUUAAAUACAACGUGUUCAAAUUGAAAUAACGAAAAUAAAUAUAUAUGUUUUGUGUUGAAAUAAUAUUUUUUGGGAAAUGAUAUUCCACGUCUUAGUCAGAACGUAACAUGUGAAAAAUAUCUAGAUAUGAAAUUUUUUUUUGUGACAGCUACUUGAACGGAGAGGAAGGUAGGUAGUACAAAUAUUGGUCUCAUCAAAUUUAACUCUCUACCCUCACAACUUAAGAUAACUUCCAUGUAAAUAAUCAAAAUAUAUAAUAAUUUCCUUCUUAACUAUAUAUUUAAUUUUAUUUUAUUUAUAUUUCUGUACAUUAUAAAAAAGAAAUACUAAAAGCAUCUAUAGAACUACAACAGUAAAUCUUGAUGAUUCUGAAACAGUACUCUUUUCAAAUAUCCCCGGUUGAAUGAUUGGGAUCAGUCGUGUUGUUCUUCGUCAAUGUCAAAAAAUAGGCAGUUUGCGAGUCCCUUAAAAAAGACUUAAAAGUUUGCUGCGUUUUCCUAUUUUAUUUCUUGGGGAGAUAGCAUAAAAUCUGUGCUGCUUAUCUGAAGAUGUUGAAAGUGGUUCCUGCAGCCCAAAUGAUUCUUGAAGUGUGCAUGAUUGAUCAUGUUAUUUCUUCAAUAUUUAUAAAACCAGGUGGGUUCCUGAAACGAAAUACAACUCAAAAAGUAUAUUUUCAUCAAAUAUAAUCCUGGACGCGUGGGAUUAUAAACUGUGACCAAAACAAAAAAAAAAAAAAAAAAAAAACACAAAUACAAUUCAAAUAUGUCCAUAUCUCCCCUAAAUCUGAGUGUGACAACAUGCACAGACUCAGCCUCCAAUAAUUGAACUGUAAGACUUUUGUGAACAUAUUAUCCUCAACUUACCUUCAGAAGGAAUAUACCAGAGUUCACUGGCAAGAACACCCCCUUGUACAAAAUAGAUCACUAAUCACGCAUGUUUUGGGAGAUGCAUAUUGAAUUGAAGGCCAUACAGGUGUUCCCAACAUUAUUAGACCAAAUAAUGGGUGCACAUGAAUAGAACAGGAUGGUCUUCAUAUUAAGAUAAGUUAAGAAUCCAAAAAAAAAAAAAAAAAAAAAGAAAAGAAAGAAAAGCAAGUGUAAAAGCUACGGCAGAUACUCGACUUCAACACAGGAGCAAAAUACAGUUGAUUGUUCCUGACGGUUAACUUAUAGGUAUUUGGACAUCCUGCACAAUCAACAUCCGGAAUGCUUGAAUAAAGUAGCAAAUCAUACUGCAGAGCAGAGCAUAGCAUGUGUGGCAAAGAAUAUGUUUCACAACCUGAAGAUGAUCAUCUCUGGGAGAAUGCUUAAACUGACAGACUUGGUUUACUGCAAAACAGAUAUCAGCUUCAGUGAAACUCAGGUUCUGGAGAGAACCAACUAGGCAGCAGUAAAUUGUUUGAUCAUGAAGAGAGGAAUAGGGUCAUUAGACCAUUUUCCCUGAAAUUGAGAAUGAGAAUACAUUCGUCUGCAUAUUUUGUUUGGUCUGGAAAAAAAAAAAAUCAUUUCUUAUUUGGAGUGACCUGGAUUCCCAAGAAGUUGUGGAGAGUAACAUGUUCUUCAUGUUAAAUUGGGCUUUCAAUUGAUGUAGAAGAUGCUGUAACAAAGAUGAAGUAGUUUAGUAAGAAAAUAUUGUCCAAAAAAUUGAGGAACCUGAACACUGAAGGUCUACAAAGCUUUAAGAUAGAGCAAAGUGGGAAAGAUACAAAUAAAACUAAAUAGAGUAAACUGAACUAUUUUGGUUUGCUUAGUUUUGUUUAUAUGGUGAAGUGGUCUUCCUUGGUUUAAAAUUUUCAUAGACCAAAUUUUGUGCUUUGCUUUGGGUGUAGAGUGCAAAUUACACCAAAUCAAACCACUCCAUUUACACUCAUAGCCAUGACUUCUCAGUAAUGGCUUCAACAACUCAACAACAAAUUGGUAAACGGAAUUGACCAAGGGCUGCAAGAAUGUAUGACAAAGAUAUAUAGGAUGACAAAGGAAUUUACGAUGUUGCAAUCAAGAACGAGCCUGAUUAUGGAAAAUUUAUUUUAUUUCCUUCCAUGCAUCGCGAGUAUUUAGUGUUAUUUGGGUUGAGAACAAUAUAAUUCGGAGGACACAAUUGCUUAAAUUUAAGAGAGGACACAUAGUUUUUUUUUUUUUUUUAGUGAAAAUGUAUGAUUAUACUAUAAACACACUUUGUUUAUCCCUCGUAUGACUUCAUAUGCAUGUUUGAGGUAAAACAUUCAUGGUUCUACUAGGUUCAUACCACCUCUAUUGUCAUAGUACUGCCAAUAAUUGAAGAACCGGAGAUUAAAAACCGUAGUCAAGCUCAGUUUAUAUCACACUCUCCAAGCACACUCUGCGAGCACAUUUGAACACAUUAAUUGUUCCCAACAACCCCAAAACACAUUGCAUGAACACAAAUACUAACUUAAAAUGAUGUGGUAAACAUAUACUAGUCACGUAUUAUAUGCAAGAUGAUUCAAAUUCUGAAAGUUCUCCAUUUCACCCACCUUAGUUACUAGUACCAAAGGAACUUAGAUUAAGCAUUUUUUGACAUGAUAUCUCUGCACUUAAGAGACUACUAAUAUGCAGUUUAAACGAUUUAAGUCUGCACUUGCCCAAAAACACAACAAGAAUGGAAUAAAAAUUUCCAACAAAUGGAACUCACCUGAGUGAAACCCGACCUCGAAUGCAUUGAAAAAAUUACCCGUGGAGCCAAAAACGCACUGGAGCUGCUAGUUAAGGAACAAGGCGUGGUUUUUCAAGCCUGCUGUAGCCAUGAUGAACACGACUAUGAUGGUUUUUCAAGCCAACUGUCGCAGAGUUGACCAAAUUGGAAAAAUUUGUGUCGGAAAUAUCACGGCGCCUCUGUCCCCGGAAAUCGCUGCUCUGUCGGCAGACAGCAGCAAAUCUCCGCCGAAGAAGGAAACUGGAGCGUCCUAAGCAAGGCAUGACAUCGGCCGGUCUAAAAUUUGGUGGAAUAAGCUGAAAUUGGUGAUGGCAGCGAGGCACGGUGGAACUACAGUGUGACUUUUUGCGCGUGCUAUGCGGGUGGCAAGCCCCUCGGUUUGCUUGAGGUGGGAACUCCGUGGCAGAUGACUUCCACUCCCGACGAAAGGAAACGCGGUGAGUAUAUAUUAAAAAAUAUGUGGAAUUUUUAAUUUGUUCUACUUAUUCAGUUUUAUGCAAAUAAAUUAUAAAUAGCGUAUUAAAGAAAAAUAGCCAUAAAAUUUGAAAUAUUUGUUUUAAUUUUUAAAGAAUUCAAGAUAAUCCUAUAACAAUCAAAUAAUGAAAUUUAUUUAUUUCAUAAAGACAUAAUUUGAGGUAUACUUGCGAAACAAAGGGGAAUCUGGAUGAACAAAAGCUUUCUUUACCUGCGAAAUUGCUGGACGGGCGAUUGACCCCUUGCCACUGCUGAUGGAAACAGCCUAUAUUGGUGGUUUAGUUUCUUCAAUGGUUACCAAUUGGUGCUUUGCAAGUUUUUUUUUUUUUUUUUGUUUAGAUUUGGGAAUUGUGAUUAAUUCUUAAACUUAUAUAGAUGUUAUAUUUAUCUCUUUGCUAUUGAUUCAUUGUUAAAACUUCAUCCUUUUUUGUUUAGUCAGAACUAGUGUUAAUGCAAUCCAUCUACUUGGGUUUGAAGUCAUAAUCUGACUUUAGUUUUUAGGCAUUUGUUCAUGUUGAUUAGGAGAUAUUACAGAAGGAUGUUGAAUUUGGUUAAAGGUUUUUUUGCCUUUAAGAAGCUAAAUAGAAGCUAUCAUUCCACCAACUUUUCCUCCUUUCUUUGCUCUCUAUUUUUCUUUAACUUUCUCAAACUUUUCACUCAAUUUUCUUUUUUUUUUUUUUUUCCGCAUAUACAGAAUGAAUUUAUAAUUAUUUAUUUAACUCUUUGAAAAGUUAUUUAUAAAUUCAAAAUUUUAGUUCAUUUAUAUUUUGAACAGAACUAAUUUAUUAAUUUUUUCAUUUUAUAUAAUAUUAAUAAAAAAAUAUUAAGAAAAAAUGAUAAAAGUUAAUUAGAAGUUUUAAAAAAAUAUCAUGAUCGAAUCUCAUUAAUUAGUUUCAUUGAUAUUUUUGAAACUGUAAAUGUUAUCUAACAUAUGAUCAUAUAAUUCUAUGAAAUUAUNNNNNNNNNNNNNNNNNNNNNNNNNNNNNNNNNNNNNNNNNNNNNNNNNNNNNNNNNNNNNNNNNNNNNNNNNNNNNNNNNNNNNNNNNNNNNNNNNNNNNNNNNNNNNNNNNNNNNNNNNNNNNNNNNNNNNNNNNNNNNNNNNNNNNNNNNNNNNNNNNNNNNNNNNNNNNNNNNNNNNNNNNNNNNNNNNNNNNNNNNNNNNNNNNNNNNNNNNNNNNNNNNNNNNNNNNNNNNNNNNNNNNNNNNNNNNNNNNNNNNNNNNNNNNNNNNNNNNNNNNNNNNNNNNNNNNNNNNNNNNNNNNNNNNNNNNNNNNNNNNNNNAUGCUGGGUAACUGAAUGUCCACUGGCCAUCUGCUUCUUAUUUCCGACGUGUAAAGGUUUGAAGCACUUUCCGAGAAUCUAAUCACUGCUAGUUGUGGAAUUCGAGGAUUUAUACACUCCCUGACCAAAUCGAAAGUUCAGUUGAAUUAUUGACACUAUCAGAAAUUUUCCCACUUGUAGAUCUUUUUGUUUUCUUAAUAAAAAUCUAAGAAGGUUGCUAUAGAAAGCACGGAAAGCUAACCUGUACAGAGGAACAGCUGCAUUAGGGGACCCUAAAAUGGAGUCCUGAAAGGUCUUUGACAUAAAAAUGUCCUUGAGCUUUUUAUCACCUUUGAACCCAGUAGCAAAUAUGACCAAAUCCGUCUCAAGAGUUUUGGUUUUACCAUCAACCAUAAUUCCCUCUUUACAGAAACUAAAGCUUGGAGCUUUUUUUAUUAUGAUGCUUCCCUCUUCAACUUUUUCAUAGAAUUUUUCAGGCACUGUUGAUACGAUACAUGUAUUGAUUUGAGUAAAGAAACUGUAUUCUGGUACCAUUACGAAUUUUUCCAAAGGAAGCUUCCUUUUAAUAUGUGUUUCAACAAAUUUUGAGAGUGCCCAUCUCACAGGUGAAAGAAUUGAAGCCAAGAGACUGAGCAAGAAGCCUUCACCUGGUUUGUGUACCAAAAGCUCAGAGAACUGGGUCAAAUACAAAUAUGCUAAAGGUAAACCCCAUGGAAGAUAAUC
rnacentral:lncRNA from 1 species